rnacentral:rRNA from 1 species
AACGAACGCUGGCGGCAGGCUUAACACAUGCAAGUCGAACGCAUCCUUCGGGGUGAGUGGCAGACGGGUGAGUGACGCGUGGGAACGUGCCCUUCAGUUCGGGAUAACCCAGGGAAACUUGGGCUAAUACCGGAUACGUGCGAGAGCAGAAAGAUUUAUCGCUGAAGGAUCGGCCCGCGUCUGAUUAGCUAGUUGGUGGGGUAAUGGCCCACCAAGGCGACGAUCAGUAGCUGGUCUGAGAGGAUGAUCAGCCACAUUGGGACUGAGACACGGCCCAAACUCCUACGGGAGGCAGCAGUGGGGAAUAUUGGACAAUGGGUGCAAGCCUGAUCCAGCCAUGCCGCGUGAGUGAUGAAGGCCUUAGGGUUGUAAAGCUCUUUCGUCCGGGACGAUAAUGACGGUACCGGAAGAAGAAGCCCCGGCUAACUUCGUGCCAGCAGCCGCCGCGG